CCUACGGGUGGCAGCAGUGAGGAAUAUUGGUCAAUGGGCGGGAGCCUGAACCAGCCAUGCCGCGUGAAGGCGAGUGCCCUACGGGCGUUAAACUUCUUUUGUGCGGGAGCAAUAAGGGCCACGCGUGGCGUUCCGAGAGUACCCGAAGAAAAAGCAUCGGCUAACUCCGUGCCAGCAGCCGCGGUAAUACGGAGGAGGCGAGCAUAAUCCGGAUUUAUUGGGUUAAAGGGGUGCGCAGGCGGGAGAUCAAGUCAGCGGUAAAAUGUCGGGGCUCAACCCCGGACGGCCGUUGAAACUGGUUUUCUAGAGUUGGAGAGAAGUAUGCGGAAUUCGUGGUGUAGCGGUGAAAUGCAUAGAUAUCACGAAGAACUCCGAUUGCGAAGGCAGCAUACCGGCUCCAUACUGACGCUGAGGCACGAAAGCGUGGGGAUCGAACAGGAUUAGAUACCCGAGUAGUC
rnacentral:rRNA from 1 species